UGAGUGACCUGCCGAUUUGUGGGGAUAGCCGGGCCAACGCCCGGGUAAUACCGCAUACGCUCUUCUUGGGGCAUCUCUAGAAGAGGAACCCUCCGGGGCAAAUCGAGGGACUCGCGGCCUAUCAGCUAGUUGGCGAGGUAACGGCUCACCAAGGCUACGACGGGUAGCUGGUCUGAGAGGAUGGCCAGCCACAUUGGGACUGAGACACGGCCCAGACUCCUACGGGAGGCAGCAGG
rnacentral:rRNA from 1 species